rnacentral:rRNA from 1 species
AGCGAACGCUGGCGGCAGGCCUAACACAUGCAAGUCGAACGAAGUCUUCGGACUUAGUGGCGGACGGGUGAGUAACACGUGGGAACGUACCUUUUGGUUCGGAACAACUCAGGGAAACUUGUGCUAAUACCGGAUAAGCCCUUACGGGGAAAGAUUUAUCGCCGAGAGGCUUGGCCCCGCGUCUGAUUAGCUAGUUGGUA